UCUUCAGCGCCGAUGGUAAUUGGGGGCUUCCCCCUGUGAGAGUAGGACGUCGCCAGGC
rnacentral:rRNA from 1 species